rnacentral:tRNA from 2 species
GGGCCAAUAGCUCAGUAGGUAGAGCAACGCCCUUUUAAGGCGUGGGUCGUUGGUUCAAGCCCAACUUGGCUCA